rnacentral:rRNA from 1 species
AGAGUUUGAUCCUGGCUCAGGAUGAACGCUGGCGGCGUGCUUAACACAUGCAAGUCGAACGAUCCUUUGGGAUAGUGGCGGACGGGUGAGUAACGCGUGGGAAUCUGCCCUCAGGAGGGGGAUAACGGCUGGAAACGGCCGCUAAUACCCCAUAUGCCGAGAGGUGAAAUGAAUUUCGCCUGAGGAUGAGCCCGCGUCUGAUUAGCUAGUUGGUGGGGUAAAGGCCUACCAAGGCAACGAUCAGUAGCUGGUCUGAGAGGAUGAUCAGCCACAUUGGGACUGAGACCCGGCCCAGACUCCUACGGGAGGCAGCAGUGGGGAAUUUUCCGCAAUGGGCGAAAGCCUGACGGAGCAACGCCGCGUGAGGGAUGAAGGCCUCUGGGCUGUAAACCUCUUUUCUCAAGGAAGAAGACCUGACGGUACUUGAGGAAUAAGCCACGGCUAAUUCCGUGCCAGCAGCCGCGGUAAUACGGGAGUGGCAAGCGUUAUCCGGAAUUAUUGGGCGUAAAGCGUCCGCAGGCGGCCUUGUAAGUCUGUUGUUAAAGCGUGGAGCUCAACUCCAUUUAAGCAAUGGAAACUACAAGGCUGGAGUGUGGUAGGGGCAGAGGGAAUUCCCGGUGUAGCGGUGAAAUGCGUAGAUAUCGGGAAGAACACCAGUGGCGAAGGCGCUCUGCUGGGCCAUAACUGACGCUCAUGGACGAAAGCCAGGGGAGCGAAAGGGAUUAGAUACCCCUGUAGUCCUGGCGUAAACGAUGAACACUAGGUGUCGGGGGAAUCGACCCCCUCGGUGUCGUAGCCAACGCGUUAAGUGUUCCGCCUGGGGAGUACGCACGCAAGUGUGAAACUCAAAGGAAUUGACGGGGGCCCGCACAAGCGGUGGAGUAUGUGGUUUAAUUCGAUGCAACGCGAAGAACCUUACCAGGGUUUGACAUCCUGCGAACCCCUGAGAAAUCGGGGGGUGCCUUCGGGAGCGCAGAGACAGGUGGUGCAUGGCUGUCGUCAGCUCGUGUCGUGAGAUGUUGGGUUAAGUCCCGCAACGAGCGCAACCCACGUCUUUAGUUGCCAGCAUUCAGUUGGGCACUCUAGAGAGACCGCCGGUGAUAAACCGGAGGAAGGUGUGGAUGACGUCAAGUCAUCAUGCCCCUUACAUCCUGGGCUACACACGUACUACAAUGCUACGGACAAAGGGCAGCAAGCUCGCGAGAGUUAGCAAAUCCCAUAAACCGUGGCUCAGUUCAGAUCGUAGGCUGCAACUCGCCUACGUGAAGGAGGAAUCGCUAGUAAUCGCAGGUCAGCAUACUGCGGUGAAUACGUUCCCGGGCCUUGUACC